AGCGGCACGCCUUCUGGGCAGCCAAGAGAGAGCGGGCGCCGCCUCGGGAGCCCCACCCAAGCGGAACAGGAAAAGGGACGCGGCCGCCGCCUCGCCUCGCCUCGCCUCCUCCUCCUCGCCGGGCUGGGGCGCGGGUGGUUCGAAAGCCGUCCCUUGCCCGUCCGCCCCCCGCCCCGGGUGGAGCCUGCGAGGCGGCCAGGGGAGAAGCCUCGCGGAAGCAAACAAGCCAAAAGGAGAGGACAGAAAUAGUAACAAGGGAAUCAACUAUCCUUGACCUGAUCCUCACUGCUAAAGAAGAAUUGGUCGCUCAGGCAGGAGAAGGAGGAGCCUUGGAUGGAAGAGGCCACUUCCUUUUGGAGUUCAUUUUUCUGAGAAAAGGGAAAUUUGAGGGAGGCAUAAUGACAAACUCUGAAUUUAAGAACACUGUUCAAUUAGCUCAAGAAAAGAGUGGGUGAGAUCCUGUGGUAAAAAAUAUUCAAAAAUAAGAACCUUUCUGCAGCUGCAGGGACUCCCUCCAACUAAUCCUGAAGCAACUCACCCUCCUUCCAGCUGCCUGCUACCUGUGUGCUGAGGCCGGACAACUUGCUAGAGGUGUGCGCCUGAACACCCUCAACAGAGAAUACCAGUGAAAGUCUUCAUUUUAAAAUAAUAGACUAGAACUCAAUUCUAUUCUCAGAGUAUAUCCCAUUUAUAUAAUCCAAGUGAUGAAUGUUGCUGUGGAGUGUAUGUGUUUUUUAGUCAAGUCAAUAAAAAUGUUGAGGCUUGCAAACAUACAGUAUAAGCUAGUUAAAUGAUUCAGAACAAUAAUGAAGAAAAUUGAAAGAUCAGACACUUUUGCUCAAAGUACCAAACUUCUUUCUUCUUAAGUAACUGUGAUUCAAUAAAUGGAGUGGGUAAAUAUUAGCACGUUUCAAACUUGCUUUUCAUAAACUUAGUGAGUAGGUGGCUGCUUUAUAAGUAGCAUUCUCAGUGCUGAAUACUGCUUCCUGUUUAACAAAUGUAAGUAAUGAAAUCUUCAAAGACAUUAUGAAAGCAUAUAUUCCACAUUAAAAUACAUCUGAAAUAUAACUUUCAUGAUGAGCAACCAAUAAGAACAACAGAAGUAUUAGAACAUGCAUUUAAACUCUAUUCAGACUCUAUUUGGUGCUAGCAUUUAUUUGGAGUAGCAAAGCAUCCUUCAUACUUCGUUGCAUAAGCUACGUAACUGCAGUGCUGGAUAGAAUAUAUCUUAAUUAUAUCAGAGAAAAAGGGAGAUACAACAAAGCACAGAUGCAUGCCAAACUGAUGUCUCUGAAUGUGGCAAAAAGGUUACAACAAUAUUUUAAUAUUUUUAUACAGCUUUCAGAAGCUGCCAUCCUUAUUUUUU